rnacentral:rRNA from 1 species
AGCGAACGCUGGCGGCAGGCUUAACACAUGCAAGUCGAACGGUCAUCUUCGGAUGUCAGUGGCAGACGGGUGAGUAACACGUGGGAACGUACCUUUCGGUUCGGAAUAACUCAGGGAAACUUGAGCUAAUACCGGAUACGCCCUUUUGGGGAAAGGUUUACUGGCGAAGGAUCGGCCCGCGUCUGAUUUGCUUGUUGGUGGGGUGACGGCAUACCAAGGCGACGAUCCGUAGCUGGUCUGAGAGGAUGAUCAGCCACACUGGGACUGAGACACGGCCCAGACUCCUACGGGAGGCAGCAGUGGGUGAUAUUGGACAAUGAGCGCAAGCCUGAUCCGGCCAUGCCGCGUGAGUGAUGAAGGCCUUAGGGUUGUAAAGCUCUUUUGUCCGGGACGAUAAUGACGGUACCGGAAGAAUAAGCCCCGGCUAACUUCGUG